CAGUUAAUGGGAAAAAGUCAAAAUCUCUUGCAUCCUUAGAUGCUACAGCAGCUGUUAAAACAACUGUAUCUCCAUAACGCACAAGUACCGCUCCAUUUGCUUGUUUUGCUAGCUGACCAAUUUCGACUUGUAGAGGACGUCCGCCCCAAUUUGUUUUAAAUACUUGUUUUUCUGACAUGUAUAGCUCCUUUUUGCCUUGUGAAAAGUAAGACGCUACUAAACAAAUGAAAACUCCUAAAUGAACUUAGACUCUUUCAUUUGGUUAGUAGAAGCCCGACAAACUUUUCAUAGGCGGUUUUUUUGAAGCGUAAGGUGCUUCUG
rnacentral:antisense_RNA from 1 species